AUUGAACGCUGGCGGCAGGCCUAACACAUGCAAGUCGAGCGGAGCGGCAGACGCGUGCGUGAUGCCUAGGUAUCUGCCUGGUCGUGGGGGAUAGCGUCCAGAAACGGACGCUAUUACCACAUACUAUCAGAUGAGCCUAGGUCGGAUUAGCUAGUUGGUGGGGGAAAGGCCCACCAAGGCGACGAUCCGUAACUGGUCUGAGAGGAUGAUCAGUCACACUGGAACUGAGACACGGUCCAGACUCCUACGGGAGGCAGCAGUGGGGAAUAUUGGACAAUGGGCGAAAGCCUGAUCCAGCCAUGCCGCGUGUGUGAAGAAGGUCUUCGGAUUGUAAAGCACUUUAAGUUGGGAGGCGUUACUAACAGAAUAAGCACCGGCUAACUUCGUGCCAGCAGCCGCGGUAAUAC
rnacentral:rRNA from 1 species